rnacentral:rRNA from 1 species
GAAACUUAAAGGAAUUGACGGGACCGCACAAGCGGUGGAUGAUGUGGUUUAAUUCGAUGCAACGCGAAAAACCUUACCCACCUUUGACAUGUACGGAAUCCUUUAGAGAUAGAGGAGUGCUCGAAAGAGAGCCGUAACACAGGUGCUGCAUGGCUGUCGUCAGCUCGUGUCGUGAGAUGUUGGGUUAAGUCCCGCAACGAGCGCAACCCUUGUCAUUAGUUGCUACAUUCAGUUGGGCACUCUAAUGAGACUGCCGGUGACAAACCGGAGGAAGGUGGGGAUGACGUCAAGUCCUCAUGGCCCUUAUAGGUGGGGCUACACACGUCAUACAAUGGAUGGUACAAAGGGUCGCCAACCCGCGAGGGGGAGCCAAUCCCAUAAAGCCAUUCGUAGUCCGGAUCGCAGUCUGCAACUCGACUGCGUGAAGUCGGAAUCGCUAGUAAUCGUGGAUCAGAAUGUCACGGUGAAUACGUUCCCGGGUCUU